rnacentral:rRNA from 1 species
UAAGGAAUAUUGGUCAAGGGACGCAAGUCUGAACCAGCCAUGCCGCGUGGAGGAUGAAGGUCCUCUGGAUUGUAAACUUCUUUUAUCUGGGACGAAACACUUCUUUUCUAAGAGGCCUGACGGUACCAGAUGAAUAAGCACCGGCUAACUCCGUGCCAGCAGCCGCGGUAAUACGGAGGGUGCAAGCGUUAUCCGGAUUCACUGGGUUUAAAGGGUGCGUAGGUGGGUAUGUAAGUCAGUGGUGAAAUCCCCGAGCUUAACUUGGGAACUGCCAUUGAUACUAUAUAUCUUGAAUACCGUAGAGGUAAGCGGAAUAUGUCAUGUAGCGGUGAAAUGCUUAGAUAUGACAUGGAACACCAAUUGCGAAGGCAGCUUACUACAUAUAAAUUGACGCUGAGGCACGAAAGCGUGGGGAUCAAACA